rnacentral:rRNA from 1 species
AUUGAACGCUGGCGGCAUGCCUAACACAUGCAAGUCGAGCGGUAACACAGGGAGCUUGCUCCUGGGUGACGAGCGGCGGACGGGUGAGUAAUGUCUGGGAGACUGCCUGAUGGAGGGGGAUAACUACUGGAAACGGUAGCUAAUACCGCAUAACGUCGCAAGACCAAAGAGGGGGACCUUCGGGCCUCUUGCCAUCAGAUGUGCCCAGAUGGGAUUAGCUAGUAGGUGGGGUAACGGCUCACCUAGGCGACGAUCCCUAGCUGGUCUGAGAGGAUGACCGGCCACACUGGAACGGGGACACGGUCCAGACUCCUACGGGAGGCAGCAGUGGGGAAUGUGGCACAAUGGGCGCAAGCCUGAUGCAGCCAUGCCGCGUGUAUGAAGAAGGCCUUCGGGUUGUAAAGUACUUUCAGCGGGGAGGAAGGCGUUGUGGUUAAUAACCACAGCGAUUGACGUUACCCGCAGAAGAAGCACCGGCUAACUCCGUGCCAGCCGCCGCCGUAA